AUUGAACGCUGGCGGCAGGCCUAACACAUGCAAGUCGAACGAGUGGCGGACGGGUGAGUAAUGUCUGGGAAACUGCCCGAUGGAGGGGGAUAACUACUGGAAAAGGUAGCUAAUACCGCAUACCAUCGGAUGUGCCCAGAUGGGAGUAGCUAGUAGGUGGGGUAAAGGCUCACCUAGGCGACGAUCCCUAGCUGGUCUGAGAGGAUGACCAGCCACACUGGAACUGAGACACGGUCCAGACUCCUACGGGAGGCAGCAGUGGGGAAUAUUGCACAAUGGGCGCAAGCCUGAUGCAGCCAUGCCGCGUGUGUGAAGAAGGCCUUCGGGUUGUAAAGCACUUUCAGCGGGGAGGCGUUACCCGAAGAAGAAGCACCGGCUAACUCCGUGCCAGCAGCCGCGGUAAUUC
rnacentral:rRNA from 1 species